ensembl:lncRNA
UUUAUUUUUUUUUUAAAUCGUGUGUGUGUGUGUGUGUGUGUGUGUGUGUGUGUUAAUCCCCGGGUUGACGGCUGCUUUUUGGUCUCUAAGCUGUUCUCAUCUCUACUAUCUCUGCUACAGUGAAGCUCACAGCCAACGAGAGAGAGGCAGAGAGUGUUUUCCCCUCUUCUCUUUCCCUCUCUGUCCUUUCCUCUAAUCCCCCCUCCCCAGUCUCUCUCCCUCCUCUCUAUUUUUCUCUCGGUGACAGGUCUCUCCCUCCUCUCUAUUUUUCUCUCGGUGACAGGUCUCUCCCUCCUCUCUAUUUUUCUCUAGGUGACAGGUCUCUCCCUCCUCUCUAUUUUUCUCUAGGUGACAGGUCUCUCCCUCCUCUCUAUUUUUCUCUAGGUGCCAGGUCUCUCUCUCCUUUUCUCUCGGUGCCAGGUCUCUCCCUCCUCUCUUUUUCUCUAGGUGCCAGGUCUCUCCCUCCUCUCUCUUUUUCUCUAGGUGCCAGGUCUCUCUCUCCUCUCUUGCACUAUAUAGAGAAUAGGGCUCUGGUCUAAAGUAGUGCACUAUAUAGAGAAUAGGGCUCUGGUCUAAAGUAGUGCACUAUAUAGAGAAUAGGGCUCUGGUCUAAAGUAGUGCACUAUAUAGAGAAUAGGGCUCUGGUCUAAAGUAGUGCACUAUAUAGAGAAUAGGGCUCUGGUCUAAAGUAGUGCCACUAUAUAGAGAAUAGGGCUCUGGUCUAAAGUAGUGCACUAUAUAGAGAAUAGGGCUCUGGUCUAAAGUAGUGCACUAUAUAGAGAAUAGG